rnacentral:rRNA from 1 species
AGAGCGGUACGGGUGCGGAAACACGUGUGACUGCCUUUAUCUGGGGAUAGCCUUUCGAAAGGAAGAUUAAUACCCCAUAAUAUGUGAAUGGGCAUCAUUCGACAUGAAAACUCCCGGUGGAUAGAGAUGGGCACGCGCAAGAUUAGAUAGUUGGUGAGGUAACGGUCACCAAGUCUACGAUCUUUAGGGGGCCUGAGAGGGUGAUCCCCCACACUGGUACUGAGACACGGACCAGACUCCUACGGGAGGCAGCAGUGAGGAAUAUUGGACCAUGGGUGAGAGCCUGAUCCAGCCAUCCCGCGUGAAGGACGACUGGCCUAUGGGUUGUAAACUUCUUUUGUAUAGGGAUAAACCUACCCUCGUGAGGGUAGCUGAAGGUACUUAUACGAAUAAGCACCGGGUUAACUUCCGUGCCACAGCCGGUAAUAACGGAGGUGCAACGUUAUCCGGGAUUUUAUUGGGGUUUAAAGGGGUCCGGUAAGGCGGAUCCUGUAAGUCCAGUGGGUGAAAUCUCACAGGUUUAACUUGUGAAACUGCCAUUGAUUACUGCGGGUCCUUGGAGUGUUGUGGAAGUUACCUGGAAUUAAAGUAAGUUGGUAG